CGUAGGUGGCGAGCGUUAUCCGGAUUUACUGGGCGUAAAGGGUGUGCAGGCGGGCUGUUAAGUGGUGUAUGAAAUCGCCCGGCUCAACCGGGCUAGGUUAUGCCAGACUGGCAGUCUAGAGAGCGAGAGAGGGACGUGGAAUUCCGGGUGUAGUGGUGAAAUGCGUAGAGAUCCGGAGGAACCCCAGAGGCGAAGGCGGCGUCCUGGCUCGCAUCUGACGCUCAGACACGACAGCAUGGGGAGCGAACGGGAUUAGAAACCCCGGUAGUCCAUGCCGUAAACGAUGCCAACUAGGCGCUGGCGGUCUCAACCCCGUCGGUGCCGCAGGAAACCCGAUAAGUUGGCCGCCUGGGGAGUACGGUCGCAAGGCUA
rnacentral:rRNA from 1 species